CAUCAUUCGUCAGUCUCCAGCGGCUCAGGUCUGUGGCUGGAUCGCUCUUGUAAGGGCCCCCUCGCCUCCGCAGGUGCCUGACAGGAGCAGACAGCAAGAUUUGGAUCUGAUCUGAAAAUCUAAAAAUGCCCGGGUGUCCAAGUAAAUAAUUUACCUGAACAUCAGAGGGAAGGUCAGAAAGAAACCCAGGAGGAUUCAGAGGAGGAUACCCAGGAGGAGGAUACCCAGGAGGAGGAUACCCAGGAGGAGGAUACCCAGGAGGAGGAUACCCAGGAGGACUGGCAUGGGGAAUGCCAAGAGGAUUCCCUGGAGGGUAUUGUAUACCCUCCCCUCCUCCACCGUGUAUUCCAUAUGGUCCAAUGCCUUGGGGGUAUUAAUGUCACUUGUGUCCUGAGGGUAAAAUCCAGUUGAUUUAUUGAUAAAUGUAAAAUGCAAAUCAUUGGUACCUUUCCGUCCAACAGUCCACUGACAGUCAGUAAUAGUUACAUUAAAGUGGUAUUGAUUCGGCUUAUGCAAUAAAUAAAACCAAUCACACUCAGUUUUCAGUUCAUAAAAUACACCUUGCCAAAACUAAACUUAAAAGAAGUGUUUGGCUUGACACAUUGUAUGUUUGAAGUAGAGGACGCUUAUCAUAUUUGAUCUCUUGUGAUUAACAACCACUUCCUCUUUGAAUAAAUGCAAGUCACCUCUGCGAUGCCAUCUCUCUUUGUUCUGUUUUUAUUUGACCUUGUUGCCAAUUUCUUUUUGCUGAGCAAUCAAACCUAAAAAUGGUUUGCUGGGUUCAGCUUCCCAAGAAUGGCAGUUUUACAUCAGGGUGUGUUGAACAUAUCUGGGUUGUGGGCUUCCAGUUCAACAAAACUAGAAUUCGCUAGACUCUAUAAAGAUUCUCUUUUUCUCUGCUACGUCAUCACUGUGACAGCUAAUCAAUCCAUCAAAUACACAUGUUUAAGAAAGAUGUAUGAUGAAA